UGAGGAAUAUUGGGCAAUGCCCGAAAGGGUGACCCAGCAACGCCGCGUGGAGGAUGAAGGUCGUAAGAUUGUAAACUCCUGUUAGAGGGGAAGAAUAACUAAGUUUGGAGCUUAGUAUGACUGUACCCUCAGAGAAAGCCCCGGCUAACUACGUGCCAGCAGCCGCGGUAAUCCGUAGGGGGCAAGCGUUGUCCGGAUUUACUGGGUGUAAAGGGCGCGCAGGCGGGAUAAAAAGUCAGUGGUGAAAUCCUACAGCUUAACUGUAGAACUGCCUUUGNUACUUUUAUUCUUGAGUUCGGGAGAGAGAGACGGAAUUCCAGGUGUAGUGGUGAAAUACGUAGAUAUCUGGAAGAACACCAGUUGCGAAGGCGGUCUCUUGGUCCGACACUGACGCUGAGGCGCGAAAGCGUGGGGAGCAAACA
rnacentral:rRNA from 1 species